CCUUAUUUAAGGGCUAUAUUGGGGAGACAGAAUGUCCUUUGGAUGAAGAUUCCUUCCUAAGAAGGAGUGUUCCACAACUUGGGAUCCUCAUCACCAGCUGGGUAGACUCAGAGCUAUAUAAGUUUCAAGAGGUUACAUGAGGACUACAGAAGGCUAAUAGCAUGAUAACAGCUGCUAGCACAGGGAUGUAAGCAAUACAAACAUCAGAUUCGUGCAGUUUGGCCAGCUUGUUGCCAAGGAUGUCAGACUCCUGAGUGAUGGAGAGAGCUUCGCCACAGUCAACAUUGUCUCCAGCUUCCAAAGGGCUGCUCCUUAGAGUUCCCACUGCAGCUCUCGUGUAUACCUGAGUAGACUGGGGUCUGCAUGUCAGCAGUAUGCCUCAUCAGGGUCUUGAAGGAAUAACCCAUUUUGCACAAUCAUUGUCAUGAUGGGAGAAGAAAAUGUACUGACUUUUUUUUUUUUUUUUUUUUGCCAGAAGACUCAUAUUCUUUGCAAAACAUAUUCUUUUUUCUACCUGGGACAAAUUUGUAGAAGCAGAUUUACUGAGAAGAAUUCUGACGCUUUCCUGGCAGUGAUGCUUAGUGAAAGCAGUUAAAUUUUUGCUGUAGAUGAAAUUUGUAAAAACUCAUGAAAACAGUUUUUGAACUCAUCCCCUAAAGACAAGUCUAAACAGAAAUGUCAGGAUUAUAAUUUUUUUAUUUACUUCAGGCACUGUGUUCAGUGUACACUCCUUACAGUUUAAUAGUAAAAUAAACUUAUAAAUAAAAUAAAUAGUAAAUUAAAUCUUCUUUUCACAGAAAAAGAACAUGACUUUAACUGUUGCCUCUGAUUUUUACCUUUCAUGGAAUCAUAAA